GAAUUGACGGGGGCCCGCACAAGCGGUGGAGCAUGUGGCUUAAUUCGAUGCAACGCGAAGAACCUUACCCGGGCUAAAUCACAGUAGACUGUUCUGGAAACAGGGCAUCCCUUCGGGGCUGCUGUGAAGGUGCUGCAUGGCUGUCGYCAGCUCGUGCCGUGAGGUGUUGGGUUAAGUCCCGCAACGAGCGCAACCCCUAUGGCCAGUUACCAUCAAGUAAAGUUGGGGACUCUGGUCAGACUGCCUACGCAAGUAGUGAGGAAGGUGGGGACGACGUCAAGUCAYCAUGGCCCUUACGUCCGGGGCUGCACACGUGCUACAAUGGGCGGUACAGAGGGAAGCUACCUGGCAACAGGAUGCGAAUCUCGAAAACCGUUCUCAGUUCGGAUCGGGGUCUGCAACUCGACCCCGUGAAGUUGGAAUCGCUAGUAAUCGCGUAUCAGCUACGACGCGGUGAAUACGUUCCCGGGCCUYGUACACACCGCCCGUCAAGCGAUGGAAGUGGGUAGUACCUGACGGCGCUGCGCCAACCGAAAGGGGGCAGGUGUCUAGGGUAAGAUUCAUGACUGGCGCUAAGUCGUAACAAGGUAACCAAGGGCGAA
rnacentral:rRNA from 1 species